GGUUGAUGCAUGUCAUUUUACAAUAAAAUGGUUUAACAUUAGAGUAAUGCAUUAAUAAUGGUACUCUGCACAUGAACAUGCACAUGUGCAUUAAGUGUUUGGUUUUUAAGUCAUGCUUAUAUUUUAGUGUAAUCACUUUUAGUAUAUCUUAAUAAUGGUUUGAGAGGAGAAAUUGUUAAUAUAUUAAUGAUUAAUGAAUAGGGAAAAGGUACUAAUUAGCCCUUAAACUUUUUGGCUGAGGCUCAAUGAGCUUCUGCAUUUUUUUUGGUCCAAUUAGGUCCUUGAAUUAAAAUUUUUCUUCAAUUGAACCCAUAUUAUGACUUCCUUUAAAUAACAGGGAAAAUUUGACUAUGGACCUACACAAUAAAUAAAAUACUAUCUACAACUAGAAAAAUUAAGAUAAUCUAAAAAAUAAAAAACCCAUAAACAAUAGACUUCAAGACUCUAAACCUAGAAAAUUAAAACUAAAAUAGAUACAUAACAGCCUUAAAAUAUCCUCAACUCAACUCAACUCAACU
rnacentral:misc_RNA from 1 species